rnacentral:rRNA from 1 species
CCUACGGGCGGCAGCAGUGAGGAAUAUUGGUCAAUGGGCGGAAGUCUGAACCAGCCAAGCCGCGUGCAGGAUGACGGCCCUAUGGGUUGUAAACUGCUUUUAUACGGGAAUAACCCCCGUUACGCGUAUCUCUCUGCAUGUACCGUACGAAUAAGGACCGGCUAACUCCGUGCCAGCAGCCGCGGUAAUACGGAGGGUCCGGGCGUUAUCCGGAUUUAUUGGGUUUAAAGGGAGCGUAGGCGGGAGGUUAAGUGUGCUGUGAAAUCCCGGGGCUCAACCCGGGACUUGCAGCGCGAACUGGCGGGCUUGAGUCCACGGGAGGCAGGCGGAAUUCGUGGUGUAGCGGUGAAAUGCUUAGAUAUGACGAAGAACCCCGAUUGCGAAGGCAGCUUACU